UACGGAGGGUGCGAGCGUUGUCCGGAUUUAUUGGGCGUAAAGAGCUCGUAGGUGGUUCGGUAAGUCGGGUGUUAAACCCCCAGGCUCAACCUGGGGACGCCACUCGAUACUGCUGUGACUAGAGUCCGGUAGGGGAGCGUGGAAUUCCUGGUGUAGCGGUGAAAUGCGCAGAUAUCAGGAGGAACACCGGUGGCGAAGGCGGAUCUCUGGGCCGAUACUGACGCUGAGGAGCGAAAGCGUGGGGAGCGAACAGG
rnacentral:rRNA from 1 species